GUGCAGGAAAAGAGGUUAAGGGCAGGAAACGAACAGCAAGGGGGAUGCACUGUUUGAAGCUGAACGCGUGAUUAGCCAUUUGUGAUGUCUGAAAAUACUUUGUGUUGUAUCAGAACACAGAGAGGAAAAUGGUUUAGUGGGUUGUGAAGCACUGCGUAUUUUGAAGGUAAGAGAACUGCUCCUCUGGAACUGUGCUGCUCACUCUUAAGGCAUUACACCAGUUCUUACUGGGCUAUAUGCCACCAUCUUUUAUUGAAAAGUAUAUGAAAAAAGAUAUACAUCACUUAGGUGGUUUGUCCCACAUCAGACAUAAAAGGAGCAGGCUUAUGAGGGAUACUGAGGUGCGCAACAUUUCACUUUUCUCAUCAUCCAAACAGGAAAUACAGCAAUAAGUAUAUCUGUAAUUCCACUUUUUCAGAGGCUGGAUUAGUAUGUGGAAAGGGCUUAAGCAAGGCUAUGUGCCAUGGUUUGAGAAGCAGGAUAGUAAGCAGCCAAACUUCUGUUCACAGCUCACCACCCUUCACCCAGAGCUGGACAGUGGUGCUCUGAAUUGUUUUGGCUAACAUAAUAUAUAGGGCAAAAGUGAGAGCGAUGGUGGAACAAAGCAGGCUUGGUUACCAAUAUCAUAGCGAUUUUGAGUACCAGCUUGUCAUUUAUGGGUAUACCUGACCGUGAAGGAAGGCUUGAGUGAAUGAAGUGCCUACUAAUAAACAGCAUUUGCAGCUGUGGGGGCAAACGUGACCUUUGAAGGUGAGCUGCAUCCGUGCCCGAGGGGAGUGCUGCUCUGAGCACAGGGCAGAGCGCAGCGCCGUGCUGCUGUUUAUACACGGGUGGAUGCCGGGUCGGUACGCGCCUUGUCCGAGUCGAGCUCUGCUCGCUCCUGUCUCGGUUGGUGAACGGUCCGUGGCCGCAAGCGCGAACGGACGGGCGUGUACUCUGUGUGCAAAUCUGCGCCUUUGUCUCCCCGGCGGCCGCCUCCGAGUAUGCCUCCGGUAACGGCUCCGGGCCGGCUUCCCCAAGCCCGGCAGUGUCCCGGGGGCACGGCCUCCCUCCGCCGGCCCGGGCUGCCCCUUUAAGAGAGGCCCCGGCGCCGUGUCAAUCGCCGCGCCCGGCUCUUUCCCUCUCCUCCCCUUCCGCAGCGCUGCGAUUCGGGGUGCCGCCGCCAGAGCCGGGCCGCGCGAUGGGCAGCCGCGGGCAGCCGCCGGAGCCGCGCCGCCAACCGCCGCCAGAGCCGCGCCGAGGGGCCUCCCGCGGGGCUGCGGGGCGCUCGGGCACCGAGGGGUAGCGGCGGGGCCCGCCGCGGGACGCGCCGACGCUCCGGAGAGCGUGUGCGCCCGGAGGACAGCACAAUAGCCGGGAGGAGGAGACAGGGAAAGGGGCAGGAGGAAAGGAGGAGAGAGAAAGAGAAAGCACAACACGGGGGCUGGCAAGGGGAGGACGGAGCGGAGGGCUCCCGAGCGCGGCGGCGCUGAGGACCGUGGCCGGGACGGCGGCGGCAGGAGCUUCCUUCCCUUAUUCUCCACUUACUCCUGUAUGCAAA
rnacentral:lncRNA from 1 species